GACAGAGGGUGCAAACGUUGUUCGGAAUUACUGGGCGUAAAGCGCGUGUAGGCGGCUUGGCAAGUCGGGUGUGAAAGCCCCGGGCUCAACCUGGGAAGUGCACUCGAAACUGCUUGGCUUGAGUACUGGAGAGGGAAGCGGAAUUCUCGGUGUAGAGGUGAAAUUCGUAGAUAUCGAGAGGAACACCGGUGGCGAAGGCGGCUUCCUGGACAGUCACUGACGCUGAGACGCGAAAGCGUGGGGAGCAAACAGG
rnacentral:rRNA from 1 species